rnacentral:rRNA from 1 species
CCUGGCUCAGGAUGAACGCUAGCUACAGGCUUAACACAUGCAAGUCGAGGGGCAGCAUGGUCUUAGCUUGCUAAGGCCGAUGGCGACCGGCGCACGGGUGAGUAACACGUAUCCAACCUGCCGUCUACUCUUGGACAGCCUUCUGAAAGGAAGAUUAAUACAAGAUGGCAUCAUGAGUCCGCAUGUUCACAUGAUUAAAGGUAUUCCGGUAGACGAUGGGGAUGCGUUCCAUUAGAUAGUAGGCGGGGUAACGGCCCACCUAGUCUUCGAUGGAUAGGGGUUCUGAGAGGAAGGUCCCCCACAUUGGAACUGAGACACGGUCCAAACUCCUACGGGAGGCAGCAGUGAGGAAUAUUGGUCAAUGGGCGAGAGCCUGAACCAGCCAAGUAGCGUGAAGGAUGACUGCCCUAUGGGUUGUAAACUUCUUUUAUAAAGGAAUAAAGUCGGGUAUGGAUACCCGUUUGCAUGUACUUUAUGAAUAAGGAUCGGCUAACUCCGUGCCAGCAGCCGCGGUAAUACGGAGGAUCCGAGCGUUAUCCGGAUUUAUUGGGUUAAAAGGGAGCGUAGAUGGAUGUUUAAGUCAGUUGUGAAAGUUGCCGACUCAACCGUAAAAUUGCAGUUGAUACUGGAUAUCUUGAGUGCAGUUGAGGCAGGCGGAAUUCGUGGUGUAGCGGUGAAAUGCUUAGAUAUCACGAAGAACUCCGAUUGCGAAGGCAGCCUGCUAAGCUGCAACUGACAUUGAGGCUCGAAAGUGUGGGUAUCAAACAGGAUUAGAUACCCUGGUAGUCCACACGGUAAACGAUGAAUACUCGCUGUUUGCGAUAUACUGCAAGCGGCCAAGCGAAAGCGUUAAGUAUUCCACCUGGGGAGUACGCCGGCAACGGUGAAACUCAAAGGAAUUGACGGGGGCCCGCACAAGCGGAGGAACAUGUGGUUUAAUUCGAUGAUACGCGAGGAACCUUACCCGGGCUUAAAUUGCAGAUGAAUUACGGUGAAAGCCGUAAGCCGCAAGGCAUCUGUGAAGGUGCUGCAUGGUUGUCGUCAGCUCGUGCCGUGAGGUGUCGGCUUAAGUGCCAUAACGAGCGCAACCCUUGUUGUCAGUUACUAACAGGUUCCGCUGAGGACUCUGACAAGACUGCCAUCGUAAGAUGUGAGGAAGGUGGGGAUGACGUCAAAUCAGCACGGCCCUUACGUCCGGGGCUACACACGUGUUACAAUGGGGGGUACAGAGGGCCGCUACCACGCGAGUGGAUGCCAAUCCCCAAAACCUCUCUCAGUUCGGACUGGAGUCUGCAACCCGACUCCACGAAGCUGGAUUCGCUAGUAAUCGCGCAUCAGCCACGGCGCGGUGAAUACGUUCCCGGGCCUUGUACACAC